UACGGAGGGUGCAAGCGUUAUCCGGAUUUACUGGGUUUAAAGGGUGCGUAGGUGGGCAAGUAAGUCAGUGGUGAAAUCUCCGGGCUUAACCCGGAAACUGCCAUUGAUACUAUUUGUCUUGAAUACUGUGGAGGUCAGCGGAAUAUGUCAUGUAGCGGUGAAAUGCUUAGAUAUGACAUAGAACACCGAUAGCGAAGGCAGCUUACUACACAAUUAUUGACACUGAGGCACGAAAGCGUGGGGAUCAAACAGG
rnacentral:rRNA from 1 species